AUAGGCAUUGGUGGUUAGUGUGUGAACCAAUAACCUUAUUGAUGACAUUUAUGGAUAGUGUAAUUUAUUAAAUUAUUAGUCAGGUUCAUAUUGAGUACAUGAUAUAUACACGUGUAUAUAUAUAAUUAAUUAGUUUCGAAAUUUAAGAACAGUUGUAGUCAAAGUUGUGCUCACGCCAUAGAUAUUGGAACUAGUUAUUAAGACUCUUCAAUGAAAGUUAUAUGGCACGAUAUUUAGGGAAUUUAUUAGGGAAAAAUGAACCUUUUGACGUCUAGCAUCUAAGUAAUAGGAGUGGAGAGUUUGACUAUAUUUUGAAAAAUUGAGAUAGAGUAAGAUCAGGUGGUUUCUACAUAGGUCGAGGUAUGAUUCAAAUUUUAAAAUGAUAGGAGCUUGUGUAGUCAAAUUGGAAGGAAUCCUCAACUGAAUAUAGCUUAGGAAUGAUCUAGAAAUAUUUUCAUGUUAUUUUAUGGGACGUACAGUUAGGUAGGACGUGGUUAAGGAUUAGUUGUUAGUCUAUAAAUACUACUAAAAAAGUCAUUACUGGUCACUUAAAAAUCCAAAUAUACUUUCAAUCUUUCUCUUCAUUUGCAUCCCCUUUAGACCAAAACUAUUACUCCAAAGUCCAUUCUUAUCGUAUAAACUUUAUCACUGAAGCUAUAAUCCUUCAUUCCAAAUUCUUUCUCUAUCUCAUCAAAUACAAAGUUCUUGUGGUCUCCAAGACCAUUGAGCCUCUUAGCUAAAAUUAACAUCAUCCUCUCGAUCAUUUUUUUCUUUUCUCUUAGCCAAGAUAUACCAAGCUAUCAUCACCUCCACUACCACCAUUAUAAUUAUCUUUUCAACAUUGCCCUAUACCACCAUACAUCAUCAUCAAGAUUUGGAUCAUCACAAAGUGAUUUGGUUUGCACGUGGCUGAAAUAUAAGAAAGGAUUUCAAGAUUUGGAGCACUAAUAUAUUUUUCAUAGGGUUUAUAUUCUUUUUUCGGGAGCUAAGGUAUAAUAAUUGUGUGUUAAUAGUUGAAAAAGGUUUAUAUUUAACUUAUAUCUAUUAUCAUAGAACACUCUAAAUAUUUUACAUGGAAAUUAGGAUUUCGUGGGUCAAGCAUACUUUAAUUCUCAGAGUUACUCCUGCAAUCAAGCUAGAUUCUCCACAUUCGAGAUUAAGGUUCUAAAACUUAGAGAGCCGGUGGCAAGUGAGACCUUGGAGGCUUGUGUGUGUACUCGCUGAGGACCAUAUAACUAAGGGUGGUCUAGGGCACGCUCCAUUUAUUUUAUUUAGUGUUAUUAAAUUAAUGUUGCAGAUAUUUUUAUUUAUUAAUUAUUAUGUCUUUUAAGUCCAAACUGAGCUCAAAUAUGAAAUAUUUUAUGUUUAUAAAUAAAAGCGACAUUA